rnacentral:rRNA from 1 species
UACAGAGGUCUCAAGCGUUUGUUCGGAUUCAUUGGGCGUAAAGGGUGUGUAGGUGGCGCGCUAAGUCGGGUGUGAAAUUUCGGAGCUUAACUCCGAAACUGCAUUCGAUACUGCCGUGCUUGAGGACUGGAGAGGAGACUGGAAUUUACGGUGUAGCGGUGAAAUGCGUAGAUAUCGGGAGGAACACCAGUGGCGAAGGCGGCUUUCUGGUCUGCUCUUGACGCUGAGGCGCGAAAGCUAGGGUAGCAAACGG